UAACGCGUGAGGAACCUGCCUCAAAGAGGGGGACAACAGUUGGAAACGACUGCUAAUACCGCAUAAGCCCACGACCCGGCAUCGGGUAGAGGGAAAAGGAGCAAUCCGCUUUGAGAUGGCCUCGCGUCCGAUUAGCUAGUUGGUGAGGUAACGGCCCACCAAGGCGACGAUCGGUAGCCGGACUGAGAGGUUGAACGGCCACAUUGGGACUGAGACACGGCCCAGACUCCUACGGGAGGCAGCAGUGGGGAAUAUUGCACAAUGGGGGAAACCCUGAUGCAGCGACGCCGCGUGGAGGAAGAAGGUCUUCGGAUUGUAAACUCCUGUUGUUGAGGAAGAUAAUGACGGUACUCAACAAGGAAGUGACGGCUAACUACGUGCCAGCAGCCGCGGUAAAACGUAGGUCGCAAGCGUUGUCCGGAAUUACUGGGUGUAAAGGGAGCGCAGGCGGGAAGACAAGUUGGAAGUGAAAUCCAUGGGCUCAACCCAUGAACUGCUUUCAAAACUGUUUUUCUUGAGUAGUGCAGAGGUAGGCGGAAUUCCCGGUGUAGCGGUGGAAUGCGUAGAUAUCGGGAGGAACACCAGUGGCGAAGGCGGCCUACUGGGCACCAACUGACGCUGAGGCUCGAAAGUGUGGGUAGCAAACAGGAUUAGAUACCCUGGUAGUCCACACUGUAAACGAUGAUUACUAGGUGU
rnacentral:rRNA from 1 species